CCCCUCGACAUGCCGCUGGAAUAGAGGACAGGGAUGCACAAUUAGGCCUCGGGGCCGGUUUAUUUUUGGAGCCGUCGCCGCUAUUCGCCCACCCUUCCUCGGAGUGGUGGCACAAUAACACAGUAAUCUCCUUACGUAACCGGACAAACUCCCCAAAAUAAAGCGCUAAAAAUAUCAAAGGAGUGGAGGUGACGUCAAAAGGCUUCAAACUUUGGGCCAGAGGGGUCAGCGGUGCACUAUUUUUAGGCCACCGGUCACAAGUGGCAGUCUAAAUAAAAACGAGGAACCCGAGGCGUGAACCCGAGAGUCACGACGAAAGAGAGCACCUUUAACGAGGUUUGGAAAAGAGCCAGGAAUGACCAUUAGCCGGCUGCAGGUGGCACGGUGUGAAGUCCACCUGGAUCAGGAACGUGUGAAGCCCUCACAGGCAACAACGGGCCUAAUCUAAGCAAGAAUCAAAGGAAACAAAGGAAUUUGCUUGACUUAUUCAAGAUAGCAAUAGACAGAGCUCUGGCCCUCGAUGACAUCACCAGUUUGCUGCCCUCUGAUUGGUCGAUGGGAGUAAUAUUUGUUACAGCAAACUUCAACCAGUAAAACUGUUAAAACACG